UUGUGAACAAAGACAUAAAUCGUGUGUGGAACCAUGGUUCUAAAUUUGAGGGAGGAUUUCAUUGUCAGUAUUGCAACCUAAGGAAGAGAGGAGGAGGUGCAACUCGCUUUAAAGAGCAUCUUGGCCAUGUAGUAGGUGAAGUGAGAGAGUGCCCAAAUGUUCCAAGAAAUGUGAAAGAUUUAAUGAAGAAUGCCGUGUAUGAGACAAGGAACAAAAAGAGGAAGAAGGCAACUGAUAAGCUUAGAUUGGAGCGUGAGAUAAUGGAUGGGUUGUAUCAUAGGGAAGGGGUGAUAAACAUUGACGAUGAUGAUGAUGCUGAACUUCAGAUGGCAAUUCGGGAGUCACUUAGCGACAAGAAUGUCUCUCGUGCAGUUGAGAGGAGGCGUGGGAGUGGUAGUGGUGUCCGCGUCUCUGUUGGGAAAAGUAGCAUCACAACCUUCUUCAACAAGGAGUUAUCGAGCAACAAAGUAUCAAUGCAGCCCAAGAUUACCACCUCUUUCGAUCUUGAGUCAAGAGAUGUACUCGGCCAAUCUUGGGCAAAAAAAUUUCACGCAAAUGAUAUUGCUGGUCUGAAAGCUGACUGUCCAUACUUUCGGGCAGCAAUGAAGAUCACUCAAAAGCUUGGUCCAAUUCCUCUCCCAACUGCCAAGGAGAUUGAUGGGAUAUAUCUGGACAAGAACUAUGAUGAAGCUGUGGAGUGGCUGAAGAUUUUCAAACAAGAUUGGAAGAACUUUGGUGUUACCGUGAUGUGUGACUCAUGGACUGGGCCUACUGGCAUGAGUGUUAUCAACUUCAUGGUGUAUUGCAAUGAAAAAAUGUUUUUCCAUAAAUCCAUUGAUGCUUCUGGUCAAACUCAAAAUUCUGGUUAGUUUUCUAUUGAAAUGAAAAUUGUUUAUUUCGUUCUCUUGCAUAGUGUUUUUCACUUGUUAACUAUGGUAAUCUAGUUACUUAUGCUUUCUUUUUCUUGUUAAUUAUGUCUACUUAUGAUUUUCUGUUUUCUACUUGUUAAUUAUGUCUACUUGUGCUUUUCUGUAAUUUUACUUGUUGAUUCUGGUUGCUCAUCCUUUUCUGUUUUUGUACUUGUUAAUUACUGUUGCUUAUGUUUAUACGUUCUUUACUUGUUAAAUAUGGUUACCUAUACUUUUGUGGUAAAAUUUUGCAGAAUUUAUCUAUAGACAGAUUAAAAAGGUUGUUGUUGAUGAGAUAGGACAUGAGAAUGUGGUUCAAAUUAUAACCGACAAUGGUUCAAAUUAUAAAAAAGCUUGUAAAACUCUUGUAGAACAACCAGAGUACAACCAUAUUGUUUGGCAACCAUGUGCUGCCCAUACAAUCAACCUCAUGCUUAAAGAUAUUGCUAAGUUUCCGGAAGUUGAUGUGAUAGUUAAAAGUGCCAAGCAAAUCUGUAGGUUUUUUCAUAAUCACAAUAACCUGCAUGAUAGCAUGAAAAAGAAUGUUGGCGGUGAACUGAUAAAACCCAAUGCCACUCGGUUUGGUACGGUGUUCAUGUUCCUUGAGAGUUAUCAUGAAAAGAAGGAUCAGUUUAGGAAAUGGAUGGUAUCUGAUGAUUGGAAGAAAAGUAUUUGGAGGAAGGAUGCUGAUUAUGUGUUUUCCGAGGCAUUACUAUCUAGUAAUAUGUGGUGGGCUGCCUUGGAGUGGGUUCUUAAUCUGUUAGAGCCACUUUAUAAAGCCCUUAGGUACGCUGAUACUCAAAAGCAAUGCACCUUGUCUGGCUUCAAGAAGAGCAUGAUGACAGCUGUACAAACUUUGGAAUCUCGUCUUGGUGGUGGGUCAGAAAUGCUUCGUAGAGUCAUGAGCAAGGUGUCCAAUAGGAUUGAGGCCAUGGAAAAGGAUACUCUAAUGGUUGCAGGUAGUGAUAAACUACUAAAAUAAAUGUUUACCUUGCUUUUUUCUCAUGGUUUAUAACCUCUGUUAUUUUCUUAUGCAGCUGCUGUCCUUGAUCCAAACACACAUUAUGUGGUCAAUCUGAGCAAUAUUCCGGAAUUCGCUUCUGCACUAACAGUUGCGAUAGAGAAGAUAGCUGACCCUGAUAGUGCUGCUUUGGCCAUUUAUGAAAUCAGCGCUUUUAGGGAACGUCGUGGAAGGUUUGGUCAACGGGUCGCACACAUUUCAGCAGAAAAAAUGUCACCAAGUAAGUUACAAUGCUUGUAGAUCCUUAGUCGCACUUUCCUCCAAUUUGCAACUCGUUAAUCUCAUUGUUUUUUGGUGGUAGCCGAGUGGUGGUUUCAGUUUGGAGGGGACGUUCCCAAUCUGCAGAAGUAUGCCUUGAGAAUUGUUUCCCAAUGUGUGUCGUCAAGUGGAUGUGAAAGGAACUGGAGCGCUUGGGCCUUGGUCCACACGAAACAAAGGAAUCGUCUAUUAUAUGGCAAGCUGCACAAGUUUGUAUCCGUUCGCCACAACUUGAAGGUAUAAAAUUCUCUUGUGUGUUGAGACCAUGAUCCUCCAUUUUCUUAGAAAACAUUGUUGUUUACGUUGCUGUUAUUUACUGAUUUUGUUUUCACACCUUUGAAGAUACGUGCUGAAGAAGACAAGGACCGGGUGAGAGAGAAUGAUAAAUAUAAGGAGGUUGAUCCAUGUGCAAUGAUGAUGAAUACAACCAUGUUUGAUGAGGCUAAUCCAAUGAUGGAGUGGUUGAAUGAGGAUGAGGAACAUGUAAUCUUGGAUGGAUCUGAUGCUGCUAGCGCCGUGUUCGAGGAAAUACGUCGCCUUAACUCAAGCAAGAAAUCCUCUCAUCUUGGAAGGAAGGGCAAUGGAACGAAAAGGAAGAGAGUAUUGGAAGAAGAUGAGGAUGACUACAUUGAUUGUGAUGAUGAUGAAGAAGAAGAUGAGUACAUAGACAUUGAUGAUGAGGAUGAAUGCGGAGAUGAUAGCGCAAGUGAAGCUGAUGGAGAAGAUUCAACUACCCGAGUUGAAAAAGAUCAACCAAGCCAAGAUGGAAACGAGGUUGAGGAAAGAAAUGAUGGAGGUUUGCUGAACUGCCGUAGGUCUCGACGAGGAAAGCAAAGCACGAAGCUGAAGGACUUGACGAGCCUUUACAAUUGACAGGUAAGUUCAUAGGUAAGUUCAU
rnacentral:lncRNA from 1 species